AAAAAUCUUCAGGGCAGGGUGAAAUUCCCUACCGGCAGUGAUAGUCUGCGAGCCUGAAAAAAUAAAUUUGAAAGGCAUGAUUCGGUGAAAUUCCGAUACCGACAGUAAAGUCUGGAUGGAAGAAGAGAAAU
rfam:Firmicutes bacterium CAG:227 genomic scaffold, scf175